rnacentral:rRNA from 1 species
GACAGAGGAUGCAAGCGUUAUCCGGGAUUACUGGGCGUAAAGCGCGCGUAGGCGGCUUUGCAAGUCGGGUGUGAAAUCCCCAGGCUUAACCUGGGAACUGCAUUCGAGACUGCAUUGCUAGAGUAUGGGAGAGGGAAGUGGAAUUUCCGGUGUAGCGGUGAAAUGCGUAGAUAUCGGAAGGAACAUCAGUGGCGAAAGCGACUUCCUGGACCAAUACUGACGCUCAUGUGCGAAAGCGUGGGGAGCAAACAGG